rnacentral:tRNA from 1 species
UCCCAGGUGACUGAGCCUUAAGUGUUAGACUUUUAAUCUAAAAACGGCAUUUUUUUGCCCCUCGGAA